rnacentral:rRNA from 1 species
UGGGGAAUUUUGCGCAAUGGACGAAAGUCUGACGCAGCGACGCCGCGUGUGCGAUGAAGGCCUUUGGGUCGUAAAGCACUGUCGACCGGGACGAAAACUCACGGACUAAUACUUCGUGAGUCUGACGGUACUGGUAAAGGAAGCACCGGCUAACUCUGUGCCAGCAGCCGCGGUAAUACAGAGGGUGCAAACGUUGCUCGGAAUUAUUGGGCGUAAAGCGCGUGUAGGCGGCUUGUUAAGUUGGUUGUGAAAACCCCAUGGCUCAACCAUGGAAGUGCGUCCAAAACUGGCAAGCUAGAGUUCUGACGAGGAUGGCGGAAUUCCCAGUGUAGAGGUGAAAUUCGUAGAUAUUGGGAGGAACACCGGUGGCGAAGGCGGCCAUCUGGGAAGAUACUGACGCUGAGACGCGAAAGCGUGGGGAGCAAACAGGAUUAGAUACCCAUGUAGUCCCUGAGCGGGCUGGCAAGGCGCAU